rnacentral:rRNA from 2 species
CUUGUGGCUGGGGGUGAAAGGCCAAUCAAACCGGGAGAUAGCUGGUUCUCCCCGAAAGCUAUUUAGGUAGCGCCUCGUGAACUCAUCUUCGGGGGUAGAGCACUGUUUCGGCUAGGGGGUCAUCCCGACUUACCAACCCGAUGCAAACUGCGAAUACCGAAGAAUGUUAUCACGGGAGACACACGGCGGGUGCUAACGUCCGUCGUGAAGAGGGAAACAACCCAGACCGCCAGCUAAGGUCCCAAAGUCACAGUUAAGUGGGAAACGAUGUGGGAAGGCUCAGACAGCCAGGAUGUUGGCUUAGAAGCAGCCAUCAUUUAAAGAAAGCGUAAUAGCUCACUGGUCGAGUCGGCCUGCGCGGAAGAUGUAACGGGGCUAAACUGUGCACCGAAGCUGCGGCAGCGACGCUUAUGCGUUGUUGGGUAGGGGAGCGUUCUGUAAGCCUGCGAAGGUGUCCUGUGAGGGAUGCUGGAGGUAUCAGAAGUGCGAAUGCUGACAUAAGUAACGAUAAUGCGGGUGAAAAGCCCGCUCGCCGGAAGACCAAGGGUUCCUGUCCAACGUUAAUCGGGGCAGGGUGAGUCGACCCCUAAGGCGAGGCCGAAAGGCGUAGUCGAUGGGAAACGGGUUAAUAUUCCCGUACUUGGUGUUACUGCGAAGGGGGGACGGAGAAGGCUAUGUUGGCCGGGCGACGGUUGUCCCGGUUUAAGCGUGUAGGCUGGUUUUCCAGGCAAAUCCGGAAAAUCAAGG